GGUGACGUCGCGCCGGCAGCCGUGGGAAUACGGAGGGGGCGAGCGGUGGUCGGAAUUACUGAGCGGAAAGUGCACGUAGGCGUAUAUUUAAGUCAGGGGUGAAAGCCCAGAGCUGAACGCUGGAACUGCCGUUGAGACUGGGUAUCUUGAGUAUGGAAGAGGUAAGUGGAAUUCCGAGUGGAGAGGUGAAAUUCGUAGAUAUUCGGAGGAACACCAGUGGCGAAGGCGGCUGACUGGUCCAUUACUGACGCUGAGGUGCGAAAGCGUGGGGAGCAAACAGGAUUAGAUACCCUAGUAGUC
rnacentral:rRNA from 1 species